GAUGAACGCUGGCGGCGUGCCUAAUACAUGCAAGUCGAGCGAACAGACGAGGAGCUUGCUCCUUUGAUGUUAGCGGCGGACGGGUGAGUAACACGUAGGUAACCUACCUAUAAGACUGGGAUAACUUCGGGAAACCGGAGCUAAUACCGGAUAAUAUUUCGAACCGCAUGGUUCGAUAGUGAAAGAUGGCUUUGCUAUCACUUAUAGAUGGACCUGCGCCGUAUUAGCUAGUUGGUAAGGUAACGGCUUACCAAGGCAACGAUACGUAGCCGACCUGAGAGGGUGAUCGGCCACACUGGAACUGAGACACGGUCCAGACUCCUACGGGAGGCAGCAGUAGGGAAUCUUCCGCAAAGGGCGAAAGCCUGACGGAGCAACGCCGCGUGAGUGAUGAAGGUCUUCGGAUCGUAAAACUCUGUUAUUAGGGAAGAACAAACGUGUAAGUAACUGUGCACGUCUUGACGGUACCUAAUCAGAAAGCCACGGCUAACUACGUG
rnacentral:rRNA from 1 species